CGUCCACGCGGGAUGCCCCUCUCCUUCCCUUCUCUCCCUCCCUCCCUCCCCUGAAGGGAAUUCCCCUCCUCCGUCUCCCGUCUCCGUCCCCCGCCGCGAGUGCGAGUGCGAGAGCUCGCCAGAUAUUUUUUGCCCGCGUCGCCUCCGCCUCCCUCCUCUCCGUUCCGCGCUCACGAGCCCCGGGGGGAAGCCAUGAACUGCCUCCACAACCUGCUCAAGGAGCCUCCAAUCGUGGGAUCCAGGUCCAUGAGGCGGCCCUCUCCGCUCAAUCUGGCGAUGGUUCGUGGCGGGAGUCGCCGAUCAAAUACCGUCAAAACUGUACAGCCACCUGGGGCGACCACUUCUGGUGCAGAGAACAGCGCCCUCGAGGUCGGCACUGAGAAGUCCGAGGUGUACAGCACUAACAUGACACAGGCCAUGGGAGCAGUGUUGACAUAUAGACAUGAGCUCGGAAUGAACUACAAUUUCAUACGCCCAGACUUGAUUGUGGGCUCCUGCUUACAGAGUCCGCUUGAUGUCGAUAAGCUUCGAAAGAUUGGUGUGAAAACUAUAUUCUGCUUGCAGCAGGAUUCGGACCUUGAAUACUUUGGAGUUGACAUCCGUGCCAUUCAAGAUUAUUCUCUAAAAUUCAAAGAUAUUGAGCACUGCCGUGCUGAAAUUAGGGAUUUUGAUGCUUUUGAUUUGCGGUUGAGGCUUCCUGCUGUGGUUAGCAAACUGCACAAGCUUGUCAACCGUAAUGGUGGUGUAACAUAUAUUCAUUGCACUGCUGGACUUGGAAGAGCUCCUGCUGUGGCACUUGCUUAUAUGUUCUGGAUUCUUGGGUACAGUCUUAAUGAAGGACAUCAGCUACUUCAGAGUAAAAGGGCUUGCUUUCCAAAGUUGGAAGCCAUUAAGUUGGCAACUGCUGACAUUCUGACGGGAUUAUCCAAAAAUACAAUCACUUUGAAGUGGGAAGAUGAUAGUUCUUCUGUUGAAAUUUCUGGGCUCGACAUUGGCUGGGGUCAGAGGAUCCCUUUGACAUAUGAUAAGGAGAAAGGAGCUUGGUUUCUGGAGAAAGAGCUGCCUGGCGGUAUGAAUACAAAUACAUAGUGGAUGGCAAGUGGGUGUGCAAUGAGCAUGAGAAUAUAACCAAACCGAAUGCUGACGGCCAUGUGAACAACUAUGUCCAGGUCUCGAGAGAUGGCACGAGUGAUGAAGAGAAGGAACUGAGGGAGCGUUUGACUGGUCCGGACCCCGAUCUUACGGAUGAGGAAAGGCUGAUGGUCAGGGAGUACUUGGAACAAUACGUGGAUGCUGAGCAUUAGGAGGUUCCGGUUCCCGUUCCCGUUCCCAUGUGCUAGUGCAUAAACAAGUUGAUUGGAAUUAGGUAUAUCUCCUAAGUAAUGACAUAAACUGCAGAAGCUAGUGACCUUGUCAGCCUUGGCGAGAGGAAACAACAACACACGGAGAUGAAGAUGGUUGUUGUUGGCUCCCCCAUGUCAAUAGUAGCUUAACCGAGGAAAUGGGCACACUGUGCAUAGAAGGAGCAAUUUGUGUUGUUGACACCAUCGUGGCUGCAUAGAAAUAAUAAGUAUUGUAAAAGUUCACUAUCAUAAAAUAAAAUAACUAGUGUAUGGUCCUGAAUAAAUCCAAGGUAGCCCCUUGUGCUUUAA